rnacentral:rRNA from 1 species
UACGGGGGAUGCAAGCGUUAUCCGGAAUCAUUGGGCGUAAAGCGCCUGUAGGUUGUUUAAUAAGUCUGUUGUUAAAGACUGGGGCUUAACCCCAGGAAAGCAAUGGAAACUACUAGACUAGAGUAUGGUAGGGGUAAAGGGAAUUUCUAGUGUAGCGGUGAAAUGCGUAGAUAUUAGAAAGAACACCGGCGGCGAAAGCGCUCUACUGGACCAUUACUGACACUCAGAGGCGAAAGCUAGGGUAGCAAAAGGGAUUAGAUACCCCUGUAGUCCUAGCCGUAAACGAUGGAUACUAGAUGUUGCAUGUAAUGUGCAGUAUCCUAGCUAACGCGUUAAGUAUCCCGCCUGGGGAGUACGCUCGCAAGGGUG